GAUAAAUUUACAAAACGUUCCAUUGACACCAGGUUCCAGAAUCCUCCGCUCCCUCUGCUCCCUCUGCUUCUGCAUUGGCUCCAGUCACAGACAGCCUCUACCUGGUGAUAGUAAGAUGGUUGAAGGAGCUUUAGCUUCUCAUCUUUUCAAGUUCGAGUCAAGCUAGAUAUAGAGAAUACUUCUUCCCUGGCUCAGAUCAAAAGAUUGUGAGUAGCAAUCCAUUACUUAAGUUAUGUAACUUGAGUCAUACUGAGACCAACAGUGUGUCCAGGGAAAUGGGGUGUUCUGAUUGGGUAAGGCUGAGGUCUUCUACUCCCCCCCUGGAGUCAGGGAAUGGGGCUGAUAUACCACAAAACCUUAAAUAAAAGAAGGACCGAUCCUCAAACAAAACACAGAGAUUGCUACCAAAAGAAAUAAAUGAAUGUU
rnacentral:lncRNA from 1 species